rnacentral:rRNA from 1 species
GAAUUCGCCCUUAGAGUUUGCUUCUGGCUCAGGACGAACGCUGGCGGCGUGCCUAACACAUGCAAGUCGAGCGGAGAUAAGGGAGCUUGCUUCCGAAUCUUAGCGGCGGACGGGUGAGUAACGCGUGAGCAACCUGCCUUGAACUGGGGGAUAACGCAUCGAAAGAUGUGCUAAUACCGCGUAAGACCACAGCACCGCAUGGUGCAGGGGUCAAAGGAGCAAUCCGGUUUAAGAUGGGCUCGCGUCCGAUUAGCUAGUUGGUGAGAUAACAGCCCACCAAGGCGACGAUCGGUAGCCGACCUGAGAGGGUGAUCGGCCACAUUGGAACUGAGACACGGUCCAGACUCCUACGGGAGGCAGCAGUGGGGAAUAUUGGGCAAUGGGCGAAAGCCUGACCCAGCAACGCCGCGUGAGGGAAGAAGGGUUUCGGCUCGUAAACCUCUGUCCUAUGGGACGAAGGAAGUGACGGUACCAUAGGAGGAAGCCCCUGCUAACUACGUGCCAGCAGCCGCGGUAAUACGUAGGGGGCGAGCGUUGUCCGGAAUGAUUGGGCGUAAAGGGCGCGUAGGCGGCUCGUUAAGUCUGGAGUGAAAGUCCUGCUUUCAAGGUGGGAAUUGCUUUGGAUACUGAUGAGCUCGAGUGCAGGAGAGGAAAGCGGAAUUACCGGUGUAGCGGUGAAAUGCGUAGAGAUCGGUAGGAACACCAGUGGCGAAGGCGGCUUUCUGGACUGAAACUGACGCUGAGGCGCGAAAGCGUGGGGAGCAAACAGGAUUAGAUACCCUGGUAGUCCACGCGGUAAACGAUGA